CACUUCUCGACAAGCUUUUGCAUUCGUGGUGAACUUCUUUUAUUAAUUCGGAUUGGACUCACAUUUUGCCUUAAGAUGCCUGCAUGUGCAGCUAUUAACUGCACAAAUCGCCAGUUCAAAGGCUGUGGACGAACAUUUCACCUCUGGCUGUCCUGUUUUACAACCAGGGAGAUGAGUUCAUCCUUGGUGAGCAUGGAGUACGGCCCCUUUGCACCACUUUCUUUUGCCUGAAAAAACAAAAUAAAUACAUGCAGUACAUCUUUUAGUCCAUUUUAAAAAAGUGGCUGAGACAGGAUGCUGUUCCUGAGUAGUGAGGGGUUUCAUGGGAUGAAGUCUGCAAAAAACCCAAGAGCACAGAGAUUAAUGAAACAUUUCUA